rnacentral:rRNA from 1 species
AUUGAACGCUGGCGGCAUGCUUUACACAUGCAAGUCGAACGGCAGCGCGGGGGCAACCCUGGCGGCGAGUGGCGAACGGGUGAGUAAUGCAUCGGAACGUAUCCUGUAAUGGGGGAUAACGUAGCGAAAGUUACGCUAAUACCGCAUACGCUCGAGAGAGGAAAGUGGGGGAUCGCAAGACCUCACGUUAUAGGAGCGGCCGAUGUCCGAUUAGCUAGUUGGUGGGGUAAAGGCCUACCAAGGCGAUCAUCGGUAGCUGGUCUGAGAGGAUGAUCAGCCACACUGGGACUGAGACACGGCCCAGACUCCUACGGGAGGCAGCAGUGGGGAAUUUUGGACAAUGGGCGAAAGCCUGAUCCAGCCAUGCCGCGUGCGGGAAGAAGGCCUUCGGGUUGUAAACCGCUUUAGUCCGGGAAAAAGGGGUGCGAGGAUAAUACCCUUGUGCUUUGAUGGUACUGGAAGAAUAAGCACCGGCUAACUACGUGCCAGCAGCCGCGGUAAUACGUAGGGUGCGAGCGUUAAUCGGAAUUACUGGGCGUAAAGCGUGCGCAGGCGGUCUUGUAAGACAGUCGUGAAAGCCCCGGGCUUAACCUGGGAACUGCGAUUGUGACUGCAAGGCUAGAGUGUGUCAGAGGGGGGUGGAAUUCCACGUGUAGCAGUGAAAUGCGUAGAGAUGUGGAGGAACACCGAUGGCGAAGGCAGCCCCCUGGGAUAACACUGACGCUCAUGCACGAAAGCGUGGGGAGC